GAUGAACGCUAGCUACAGGCUUAACACAUGCAAGUCGAGGGGUCUUUUGGAGCUUGCUUUAAAAGACGACCGGCGCACGGGUGAGUAACGCGUAUCCAACCUGCCCUUCAUAUUGGGAUAGCCUUCCGAAAGGAAGAUUAAUACCGAAUAACAUGAUAGAGUUGCCUGAUUUUAUCAUGAAAGCUCCGGCGAUGAAGGAUGGGGAUGCGUUCCAUUAGGUAGUAGGCGGGGUAACGGCCCACCUAGCCGACGAUGGAUAGGGGUUCUGAGAGGAAGGUCCCCCACACUGGAACUGAGACACGGUCCAGACUCCUACGGGAGGCAGCGGUGAGGAAUAUUGGUCAAUGGGCGCAAGCCUGAACCAGCCAAGUAGCGCGAAGGAUGACUGCCCUAUGGGUUGUAAACUUCUUUUAUACGGGAACAAACCCCGGUACGUGUACCGGAUUGCGUGUACCGUAUGAAUAAGCAUCGGCUAACUCCGUGCCAGCCGCCGCAGUAACAC
rnacentral:rRNA from 1 species